GCCAAGUUCCAAGAAGCACAUAGGGCCCAGUUACCACCAGGGUGAUCCCCUGUCACAGUUACCUGGCAGCUCAGAGGCCCCCGCUGUGCCAAGAUAAGUCGACCAUGACAGCGACCGAGGAGGAUUUCACACGGAUGUCAGGUGGCUUUGGAGCUUCAGUCAUAUUGACGUCUUUUGAAGUUUCACAGAAGAUGGGAGAAGCUGUAUGUCUGGAGCUCAUCAUGUCCUAGCAGGCUCCUCAACUCAAUUUGCGUUGGAUUAUUCUCUCAAAAACUUCUGGUAGCUCCUGGAACACAGAGCCUCAUGACUACCUAAAAAGGAUAGGCCGCCUCCUGAACUGAGGGCCUCUUGGUUUGGUGGUGCCUGCCUCUCUGUGACCGAAACUGUUCCUGGUAGCUGCUGUCCCGGUGUGGAGUGUUGUGUCGUUCCCUGCCAGCUGGGGCGGCCCAUUCUUGCUAUCAAAGCCACCGCUGCUUUUCCACACUGUAUCCUGGAGAAACUAAGGCAGGUGGGGGCUGUCGUGGUCCCACGUCUAAGCUUUGCACUUCAGCGUUUGAGGGCCAAACAGCCCUGUGGUGUCAACCUCAAACAGAUGCUCACAAAAUGGUUAAGGCAAGAAUCAAGAAGUCUUAUGGUGUGACAGCUGUGAGCACAUGUGUGGGAAAGACCUUGAACAUGGCCGCGUCAUUGACAAAGCUCCUUGGCUGUUUCCACUGAGACAAAUGACCAGCAUGGAUGCCAGUUUGGCUUCCAAGAUGAGAAAGGCUCCUAGCUGGCAGUGUUCCAAGGAUGCAGCAAAGGCUUCUGGGAGUGUGUCUGUCUAGAACACAUUCACUCAGCUUUUUUUUACUCUGGGUCACAGUGACCUGAAGAAAAGCCCACACGUCCCUCACUACCUUAUUAUAUCUUCCGACACAGAUGCCUUAAUAAAGUCCUCAUGUUUUCUUUUUAGAUGGGUACCAUGUGUCCCAGGCCAGACGACUGGACCCAUGAUGGAGCUGAGAA